AAUAUUAUUUACAUAGUUGAGAGGAAUGUGUGCCCUUCUGGGCCUCUGUUUAGGUGGGAAGGAUCGAAGUAUGGUGGAAGGUGGGUGGGAUAAAUGUUUCAAAUAAUUUUUUUUCCUCCUGUGUCUGGUUAUGGGAAUGGGGCAGGGACUGCACUUAGCUGUCAAACUAUAUCAGCACCCAGAGAUGGGAGGCAGUCAUUUGAUGAUGCUUUAAAAGACCCCCAGUAUGGGGAAGAAUGUUCCACGGGUGUUACUUGAGUAGUUUUGAAGUUCAGAGAUGUUGUCAGCUUCUUUGCACCAGGGUUGAGAAAAUCUUUCCAAGGUCUGUUGGUUGACCAAGUCCACCUCAAUACAUCCACAGACAGACCCAAACACUUACUGCUUAGCCUGACCAGCAGAGUUGUCCCACCUGUUCUGCCCUCCAACUGCUGACAUCCUCUGCUAACCUAGAUGACAUAGCUGGGUUUUGGACCCAGGCAUUCUGACUGCUUCUUUACAAGUUUCUUGACAUUCUCAAAUGUGCCACAUUCUUUUGACUCAGAAGGCCAUCUCUUCUGUCAUGGGGUUCUAAGCUCUCCUACCGCUUCUAACACACUGGCAGCAUCAGAGAACAUUGAAAGAUCCUGACUUCCAAGGCUCUUGGGACCCUGAAAUGUCAGCCGAAUGCUGUGGAACUUUCUCUUUGGUCUCCGGCUCCUGAUGCAGCAGUCAGAAGAGCAACCCUGCCAUCUGCUGUCAGUGUUGCUGCUGCGUGGGUUGGCCCCAAGCCCGUGACGCUGGCCUUGGCCCUGUCCGGGAGCCAGCCACCCACCACGUCCCUUUGUGAGGGGAGUUGGAGGUGGGGGUGCAGAGAAGAGAACGCCCCAGCCUCCUGCUCGCAUUCCUAGACACCGACUCACUGUGCCCGCCGCCACUGGAACAGCAGAGCUGUGUGAAAUGUCAAGAGGAGUUAUGCUCACAGGUCCCCCAGCCCCCGGUCACUCUGUGGCUUGCCUUUUCUUCCCCAUCUGCAACUGCGUUCAUCAGAUGGAAACCAGAGGAUGCAAUUAGAAGAUUAUUUGCUAGUUCCAGACCAAUUCAGGACUAAUUUUGGGGUGGGGGGCGUGGAUGGGCGCUCCUUCUUGCCUGAUCAAAUUGCAGAAAACCCGAA